CCUACGGGUGGCAGCAGUGAGGAAUAUUGGUCAAUGGGCGGGAGCCUGAACCAGCCAAGUCGCGUGAGGGAAGACGGUCCUAUGGAUUGUAAACCUCUUUAGGCGGGGAGCAAUUCCGGGCACGCGUGCCCGGAGGGAGAGUACCCGCAGAAUAAGCAUCGGCUAACUCCGUGCCAGCAGCCGCGGUAAUACGGAGGAUGCGAGCGUUAUCCGGAUUUAUUGGGUUUACAGGGUGCGUUGGCGGAUUUGUAAGUCAGCGGUAAACUGUCCGGGCUCAACCCGGGCCGGCCGUUGAAACUGGGGAGCUUGAGUGGGCGAGAAGUAUGCGGAAUGCGUGGUGUAGCGGUGAAAUGCAUAGAUAUCACGCAGAACUCCGAUUGCGAAGGCAGCAUACCGGCGCCCGACUGACGCUGAGGCACGAAAGCGUGGGGAUCGAACAGGAUUAGAUACCCCAGUAGUC
rnacentral:rRNA from 1 species